rnacentral:pre_miRNA from 1 species
CGUGCACUCGGGGGGCCCCUCAGCCUGGAUUGUGAGAAGGCGCAUGCCAGGCUGAGGGAACCCACCAGUGCAUG